ACGAAUGGAAAAUGAACUUGCCAGUUCACAGCUAUGUCCUUCCCAAUUUAGGAGGUUAAGGGCGGGAAAAACAUGAGAAACUCUUUUGAGAAGCUGCAAAAGCUGACGUGGAGGAUCAAGGAUUUCAAAAGCUUUGAAUAUAAAGAGGUGUCAGACUUACAUCAGAGCCUGAGACUUGACAUGCCUAUUUUUGCACUCGCUCCUCUUUCAAAUUUCAUAGGCAUUGCUCCCUCCAAAUCACCGCUCUUCUAAUUUUAUCUUGGAGUGUGCAUCCCAGAAGACAUAAGCUGACACAAUUGGGAACUGAAGUUGCUUGAAAAAGCUGGUGGUAAGAUUAGGGAUCAGUGUCAUAUAUCACUAUUUCUCAAAGAUUAUCUGGUCCCUUGAUGGCAAAUCUACAAUAUUGAAACCCUUGAAAGAGAAAUUGUGUUUUGUGAGUUACAUGACUACCGUUUGCCUCCAAGGUCUCCUCUGUAGUCAAGAAAAGAAUGCAG
rnacentral:lncRNA from 1 species